CAGCCAUGGCGGGAAGCGAACCGCGCAGCGGAGGCGUCACCCGUCAGCCUCACCACAGCGACUGGGGCCGCCUGGAGGCUGCCUUCCUCAGCGGCUGGAGGAACUUCUGGCAGUCGGUGGGCAAGGAGAGGGCGGCUCCGAGGUCCUCCCCGGAGGAGGCGGACGAGGAGGCCAGCUCGCUAACGCGGCUGCCGAUUGAUGUACAGCUAUAUAUUUUGUCAUUUCUUUCACCUCAUGAUCUAUGUCAUUUGGGAAGUACAAGUCAUUAUUGGAAUGAAACCGUACGAGAUGCAAUUCUGUGGAGAUAUUUUCUGUUGCGGGAUCUUCCUUCUUGGUCUUCUGUUGACUGGAAGUCUCUUCCAGAUCUAGAAAUCUUAAAAAAGCCGAUAUCUGAGGUCACUGAUGGUGCAUUUUUUGACUACAUGGCAGUCUAUAAAAUGUGCUGUCCAUAUACAAGAAGAGCCUCAAAAUCUAGCCGUCCUAUGUAUGGAGCUGUCACCUCAUUUUUACACUCAUUGAUCAUUCAGAAUGAACCACGAUUUGCCAUGUUUGGACCAGGUUUGGAAGAACUAAAUACAUCUUUGGUGUUGAGCUUGAUGUCUUCCGAGGAGCUUUGCCCAACAGCUGGUUUGCCUCAGAGGCAGAUUGAUGGUAUUGGAUCAGGAGUCAGUUUUCAGUUGAGCAACCAACAUAAAUUCAACAUCCUAAUAUUAUAUUCAACUACAAGAAAGGAAAGAGAUAGAGCAAGAGAAGAACAUACAAGUGCAGUUAACAAGAUGUUCAGUAUACAGAAUGAAGGGGAUGAUCAACAGGGAAGCCGGUACAGUGUAAUUCCACAAAUUCAGAAGGUGUGUGAAGUUGUUGAUGGGUUCAUCUAUGUUGCAAAUGCUGAAGCUCAUAAAAGACAUGAAUGGCAAGAUGAAUUUUCUCGUAUUAUGGCAAUGACAGAUCCAGCUUUUGGAUCUGCAAGAAGACCAAUGCUGGUUUUAUCUUGUAUUUCUCAAGCUAAUGUAAAAAGAAUGCCCUGUUUUUAUUUGGCCCAUGAGCUGCGUCUGAAUCAUCUAAGCCACCCAUGGAUGGUCCAGGAUACAGAGGCUGAAACUUUAACUGGUUUUUUGAAUGGCAUUCAGUGGAUUCUUGAAGAAGUAGAAUCUAAGCAUGCAAGAUGAUCCUCCUUUUAGACCUUGGGAACUGAAAGAAAGCAUUUGGAACUUGUUACUAAGGUCGUGAUGUGGAUAUUUGCUCAAGUCAGCUCAUUCUGCCCUGCCUUUUUGCAGCUGGAACAUUGGUCUUCUCCUGCCUUCACACUUGGACUUGGACAGGAACUACACCAUUGGCUUUACUGCGUCUUCACCAGAUUUCUGGGUUCAACUGAAGAUCUUGGAACUUCUCAGUCUCCAUAAUCACGCUUUGCAAUAAUUUUUUAAUGAAGCAUAUUAAGUUUUUGUUUAUGACUACAAGAAUGCAUAUUCAUAAUAAGAAACCUUGGAGAAUACAAGGGAAGCAUGAAGAGGGGCAAAAGAAAAUCACCCUUAGUUUACAACAAAAGACAAUCAACGUCUAUAUUUGGUAUAUUUUCUUUUAUUCUCUUUUAUAUCUUGCAUUGAAGUUUUUGGCUUUGAUUUUUAUUGUUCAUAUUAUUUCAUGAAUAGUAAAAUGCUAAUCAUA